rnacentral:rRNA from 1 species
UAUCUAUAGUUGCCAUUACGGUAACAGGAGAUUAAUGCGAGUUGAGUAAAGCGUGAGAAUACACGAGCGGCGGACGGCUGAGUAACACGUAGGAACGUACCCCAAAGUGAGGGAUAAGCACCAGAAAUGGUGUCUAAUACCGCAUGUGCUCUAAGGAGUAAAGCUUCGGCGCUUUGGGAACGGCCUGCGCAUGAUUAGCUUGUUGGUGAGGUAAUAGCUCACCAAGGCUUCGAUCAUUAGCUGGUCUGAGAGGAUGACCAGCCAGACUGGGACUGAGAACGGCCCAGACUCCUACGGGAGGCAGCAGUAGGGAAUUUUCCACAAUGGGGGCAACCCUGAUGGAGCAACGCCGCGUGCAGGAUGAAGGCCCUAGGGUCGUAAACUGCUUUUAUCUGUGAAGAUUAUGACGGUAGCAGAUGAAUAAGGAUCGGCUAACUCCGUGCCAGCAGCCGCGGUCAUACGGAGGAUCCAAGCGUUAUCCGGAAUUACUGGGCGUAAAGAGUUGCGUAGGCGGUUAAGUAAGUUGGUAGUGAAAGCGUGGGGCUCAACCUCAUAUCCAUUACCAAAACUGCUUUGACUAGAGAAUGAGAGAGGUCGCUGGAAUUCCCUGUGUAGGAGUGAAAUCCGUAGAUAUAGGGAGGAACACCGAUGGCGUAGGCAGGCGAUUGGCUCAUUUCUGACGCUAAGGCACGAAAGCGUGGGGAGCGACCGGGAUUAGAUACCCCGUUAGUCCACGCCGUAAACGAUGGAUGCUAGCUGUUACCCGUAUCGACCCGGGUAGUAGCGAAGCUAACGCGUUAAGCAUCCCGCCUGUGGAGUACGAGCGCAAGCUUAAAACAUAAAGGAAUUGACGGGGACCCGCACAAGCGGUGGAGUGUGUUCUUUAAUUCGAUGGUAAGCGAAGAACCUUACCCAGGUUUGACAUCCUUGGAAUUUUUGCGAAAGCAGAGAGUGCUUUAUUGAGCCAAGUGACAGGUGUUGCACGGCUGUCGUCAGCUCGUGUCGUGAGAUGUUGGGUUAAGUCCCGCAACGAGCGCAACCCUCGGGAUCUGUUGUAUCACUCAGAUCCGACUGCCGAGAGAAACUCGGAGGAAGGUGGGGAUGACGUCAAGUCAGCGUGGCCUUUAUGUCUGGGGCUACACGCACGCUACAAUCGCCGGUCACAACGGGUUGCGACUGCGCAAGCAGAAGCUAAUCCCCUAAAACCGGCGUCAGUUCAGAUCGAAGGCUGCAACUCGCCUUCGUGAAGUCGGAGUUGCUAGUAACCGCAGGUCAGCACACUGCGGUGAAUAUGUUCCCGGGCCUUGUACACACCGCCCGUCACGUCAUGGGAGUUAGUAACGCCCGAAGCCGGUGGGCCAACCGCAAGGAGGCAGCCGUCGAAGGUGGGA